GCGGCGUGCUUACACAUGCAAGUCGAACGAUGAAAUCACUUCGGUGGUGGAUUAGUGGCGAACGGGUGAGUAACACGUGGGCAAUCUGCCCUUCACUCUGGGACAAGCCCUGGAAACGGGGUCUAAUACCGGAUACCACUCUGUCCCGCAUGGGACGGGGUUGAAAGCUCCGGCGGUGAAGGAUGAGCCCGCGGCCUAUCAGCUUGUUGGUGGGGUAAUGGCCUACCAAGGCGACGACGGGUAGCCGGCCUGAGAGGGCGACCGGCCACACUGGGACUGAGACACGGCCCAGACUCCUACGGGAGGCAGCAGUGGGGAAUAUUGCACAAUGGGCGAAAGCCUGAUGCAGCGACGCCGCGUGAGGGAUGACGGCCUUCGGGUUGUAAACCUCUUUCAGCAGGGAAGAAGCGCAAGUGACGGUACCUGCAGAAGAAGCGCCGGCUAACUACGUGCCAGCAGCCGCGGUAAUACGUAGGGCGCAAGCGUUGUCCGGAAUUAUUGGGCGUAAAGAGCUCGUAGGCGGCUUGUCACGUCGGAUGUGAAAGCCCGGGGCUUAACCCCGGGUCUGCAUUCGAUACGGGCUAGCUAGAGUGUGGUAGGGGAGAUCGGAAUUCCUGGUGUAGCGGUGAAAUGCGCAGAUAUCAGGAGGAACACCGGUGGCGAAGGCGGAUCUCUGGGCCAUUACUGACGCUGAGGAGCGAAAGCGUGGGGAGCGAACAGGAUUAGAUACCCUGGUAGUCCACGCCGUAAACGUUGGGAACUAGGUGUUGGCGACAUUCCACGUCGUCGGUGCCGCAGCU
rnacentral:rRNA from 1 species